rnacentral:rRNA from 1 species
CACGUAGGGUGCGAGCGUUGUCCGGAAUUAUUGGGCGUAAAGAGCUCGUAGGCGGUGUGUCGCGUCGGCCGUGAAAACCUGCAGCUUAACUGUGGGCUUGCGGUCGAUACGGGCAUCACUGGAGUUCGGCAGGGGAGACUGGAAUUCCUGGUGUAGCGGUGAAAUGCGCAGAUAUCAGGAGGAACACCGGUGGCGAAGGCGGGUCUCUGGGCCGUAACUGACGCUGAGAAGCGAAAGCGUGGGGAGCGAACAGG